CCUCGAUACACGCUUCACAAAAACGCCCCCGAGAUUACCCGACACAGGUAUCGGAGCUUCGACACAGAGGACACAUCACUAGUCUUUGGUCUUUUCUCCUGCACAGGGGGACUGGCAUUGGGAGAAGAGUCGGGCGGAGGAACAGCUCACCACUGCAGUUACAGGGAGAGAUGUUGGAAAGCAGGCCAAAACCUCAACACAUUGAGGACAUCAGCAAAAAACAGCCAACGCCGGCAAGCACAUAUCCAGUUGUUGUCCCUUUGACCACUAUGAAGCAGCCCAGAAGACGCCAGCGCAUCGAUAGUGGGAACAGAAGCUUUACCUGUGAUCAGUGUGGAAAGUCUUUCACUCGGAGUAGCAGCUUAAAAGUACAUCAGCUC